GAUGAACGCUGGCGGCGUGCCUAACACAUGCAAGUCGAGCGAUUUACUUCGGUAAAGAGCGGCGGACGGGUGAGUAACGCGUGGGUAACCUGCCCUGUACACACGGAUAACAUACCGAAAGGUAUGCUAAUACGAGAUAAUAUGCUUUUAUCGCAUGGUAGAAGUAUCAAAGCUCCGGCGGUACAGGAUGGACCCGCGUCUGAUUAGCUAGUUGGUGAGGUAACGGCUCACCAAGGCGACGAUCAGUAGCCGACCUGAGAGGGUGAUCGGCCACAUUGGAACUGAGACACGGUCCAAACUCCUACGGGUGGCAG
rnacentral:rRNA from 1 species